rnacentral:rRNA from 1 species
AACGAACGCUGGCGGCGUGGAUAAGACAUGCAAGUCGAACGAAACAUCUUGUGUAGCAAUAUAUAAGGUGUUGAGUGGCGAAAGGGUGCGUAACACGUAGCUAUCUACCUUGAAAUGGGGGAUAACGCCGAGAAAUCGGUGCUAAUACCGCAUGUGACUGUGAAGUUAAAGCUGGGGAUCGUAAGACCUGGCGUUUCAAGAUGAGGCUGCGGCCUAUCAGGUAGUUGGCGGGGUAAAAGCCCACCAAGCCUAAGACGGGUAGCUGGUCUGAGAGGACGACCAGCCACACUGGAACUGAGACACGGUCCAGACACCUACGGGUGGCAG